rnacentral:rRNA from 1 species
GACGAACGCUGGCGGCGCGCCUAACACAUGCAAGUCGAGCGAAGCGGCGAACGGGUGAGUAACGCGUGAGGAACCUGCCUUUCACAGGGGAAUAACACUGGGAAACCCGUGCUAAUACCGCAUAGUGAAAGAUGGCCUUGCGCCUGAUUAGCUAGUAGGUGAGGUAACGGCUCACCUAGGUGAUGAUCAGUAGCCGGACUGGAGGUUGAUCGGCCGCAUUGGGCCUGCGACACGGCCCAGACUCCUACGGGAGGCAGCAGUGGGGAAUAUUGGGCAAUUGCGCAAGCCUGACCCAGCAACGCCGCGUGAAGGAUGACGGCCUUCGGGUUGUAAACCGCUUCAGCCAUGACGCGGUAGUGGCAGAAGAAGCACCGGCUAACUACGUGCCAGCAGCCGCGGUAAUUC